rnacentral:rRNA from 1 species
AUGUAUGCAUUGGACCCUAAAGACUUGAAGCCAUUGAAUAGCUGCUGCGAUGCUCAGAUUUCUGUUUUUGGUUCUAAGCUUCAGAAGAAGAUGCGAGACUCUAAUAUUUUUGUUGUGGGAUCUGGUGCUCUUGGAUGUGAAUUCUUGAAGAACUUCGCUUUAAUGGGGGUUUCUUGUGGCCGUAAAGGGAAGCUAACUAUAACAGAUGAUUAUGUCAUUGAAAAAAGCAACUUGAGCCGGCAAUUCCUGUUUCGUGAUUGGAACAUUGGACAGGCAAAAUCUACAGUAUCUGCUACAGCUGCUAGUGCUAUCAACUCCAGCCUCCAUAUUGAUGCUCUGCAGAAUCGUGCCUGUCCAGAGACUGAACAUGUUUUCAAUGAUGCAUUCUGGGAGGGCUUUGAUGCUGUCAUCAAUGCACUUGAUAAUGUCAAUGCUAGGAUCUACGUGGACAUGGGAUGCCUGUACUUCCAGAAACCACUCUUGGAAUCUGGAACGCUGGGUCCGAAAUGAAAUACACAGAUGGUGAUUCCUCACCUUACUAAAAACUAUGGAGCUUCACGAGAUCCUCCGGAGAAACAGGCACCAAUGUGCACAGUUCAUUCUUUUCCGCGCAAUAUUGACCAUUGUCUAAUGUGGGCUCGCUCAGAGUUUGAGCUGGUAGAGAAAACUCCAAAUGAAGUGAACUCAUUUAUGUCUAACCCUGCUGAAUGUGCUGCUGCUAUGAAAAAGGCAGGUGAUGCUCAAGCCAGGUAAUUAUUGGAGCCUGUACGUGAAUGCCUUGACAAGGAGCGAUGUGAUAAAUUUGAAGACUGCAUAGCCUGGGCAAGAUUGAAGUACGAUUUAUCUCUGUUUGAUCGUGUGAAGCAGCUAACAUUCACAUUUCCUCAAGAUGCUGCCACUAGCACUGGUGCUCCUUUCUUGUCUGCCCCUAAGUGUUUCCCUCCCCCGGUGCAAUUCUCAGCUGUUGAUCCAUCUCACAUUCAAUUUAUACUGGCUGCUUCCAUAUUGAGAGCGGCGUCUUUUGGGAUCCCCAUACCGGACUGGGUAAAUAACAUGGGUAAUUUGGCCGAUAUAGUAAGUAAGGUUGCAGUGCCUGAAUUUGAGUCAAAGAGUGGGGUUAAGAUUGAAACAGAUGACAAGGCUACUAACUCCAGUGCCUCAGUUGACGAUGCUGCUGUUAUCUAAGACCUUUUAACCAAGCUGGGAGCAUGUGCCAAGAAACUACCUUCAGGAUUCCAAACGAAGCCUAUUCAGUUUGAGAAGGAUGAUGAUACAAAUCUCCACAUGGACUUGAUUGCUGGUCUUGCUAAUAUGCGUGUGAGAAACUAUGGUAUUCAAGAGGUCGACAAGCUGAAGGCGAAGUUCAUUGCAGGAAGAAUCAUUCCAGCUAUUGCAACUAUGACGGCCAUGGCCACAUGCCUUGUGUGCCUUGAGCUUUACAAGGUUCUGGCUGGUGAUCACCCAGUUGAAGACUACCGCAAUACGUUUGCCAACCUGGCACUACCAAUGUUUUCCAUGGCUCAACCUGUUCCACCCAAGGUGGUGAAGGAUCAAGACAUGAGAUGGACAGUGUGGGACCGAUGGUCUAUCAAGAGCAACAUUACUCUCGCCGAACUACCUAAGUGGUUAAGCGACAAGGGCCUGACUGCUUACAGUGUCUCUUGUGGCACAUCCUUGCUGUACAACACCAUGUUCCCAACGCACAGGGAUCUAGGUAGAUGUUCCAGCAUACAGGAAGCAUUUUGA